UUUGGCUUUAUUGGGAUUAUAAACUAAACCUGUUCGUGGGUUUCAAGCAUCGUUCUUGAGAUUCGCAUCAAAUGUCAAAGGGACGUGAAGGCUAGAAAAGAAUCCAAUUUAAAAAAAUCCAAAAUUUUUAUCAUGUGCAGAGGAAUUUGUCAUCUUAAUUCAUAAGCAUGUACCCUCUAGAGAAGAAAAGAUGCUAGUAUAUCUAAAAAACUAAAGCAACGUGAGUCUGUGACAGAAGCAAAUGGAACCCAAGCAUCAGAAGUUCAAGCAACAUUUAGUUGGCUAACAACAAUCAAAAGACUUAGAUGAUCACCUUAAUUUGAGUUGCAUGGGGUACAAAGUAGCAUGCAUGGAAUUUGACCGUUUAAGAAAAAGCAAUUGUUUUUUUUUUUUAAUUAAAG
rnacentral:misc_RNA from 1 species